rnacentral:SRP_RNA from 1 species
AAUUAAUGCCAUCGUGAUAACAGGCGACGAACCAGGUCAGGACCGGGAGGUAGCAGCCUUAAGUUUGCUCUGUUAUGUGCGAUGGUACUUUUUAUAUU